rnacentral:rRNA from 1 species
CACGCUGUAAACUAUGGACGCUAGCCGUUGGGUAGCUUGCUAUUCAGUGGCGCAGCUAACGCAUUAAGCGUCCCGCCUGGGGAGUNCAACGCGCAGAACCUUACCAGGGUUUGACAUCCUGUGCUCGCUGGUGAAAGCCAGUUUUCCCGCAAGGGACGCAGAGACAGGUGC